UCGCGCUUUCUCUUUGGAGGCUGAGGCAACGCGGAGGACAGGAGCCUUCUGAGAGCGCAACCACCGCCACCAUGAGCCUUCUCAACAAGCCCAAGAGUGAGAUGACCCCGGAGGAGCUGCAGAAGCGGGAGGAGGAAGAGUUGAACAUGGGCCCACUCUCCGUGCUCACGCAGUCCGUCAAGAACAACACCCAGGUGCUCAUCAACUGUCGCAACAACAAGAAGCUCCUGGGCUGGGUGAAGGCUUUUGACAGGCACUGCAACAUGGUGCUGGAGAAUGUGAAGGAGAUGUGGACCAAGGUCCCCAAGAGUGGCCAGGGCAAGAAGAAGUCCAAGCCAGUCCACAAGGACCGCUACAUCUCCAAGAUGUUCCUGCGCGGGGACUCGGUCAUUGUGGUCCUGCGGAACCCACUCAUCGCUGGCAAGUAGAGGCUUGCUCCCUGCUGUCAAAACUCACUCCCCCGUCCUGCAAAGACCCUCCCUUUGACACGAGAACAAUAAAAGCCUGGUGUGUUUGUU